CCAGCAGCCGCGGUAAUUCCAGCUCCAAUAGCGUAUAUUAAAGUUGUUGCAGUUAAAAAGCUCGUAGUUGGAUUUCUGGCAUGAUGCGCCUGGCCCGCUCCGAUUACGGAUGUGUGUGCUAGUGCGCGUCUGCCAUCCAUUUACAGAAUGUAUCUACCCUUCAUUGGGCCGGAUAUGUGAUGUAAAUCUUUUACUUUGAAAAAAUUAGAGUGUUUAAAGCAGGCAUUUGCUAUGAAUACAUUAGCAUGGAAUAAUAAUCUAGGACUUCGGUUCUAUUUUGUUGGUUUCUAGAUCUGGAGUAAUGAUUGAUAGGGAUAGUUGGGGGUGCUAGUAUUUAGGGGCCAGAGGUGAAAUUCUUGGAUUCUCUAAAGACUAACUUAUGCGAAAGCAUUCACCAAGGAUGUCUUCUUUAAUCAAGAACGAAAGU
rnacentral:rRNA from 1 species